GCCAGGCGCUGCCCUUGUUGGCGAUAGAGCGCGGGGUGUUGUAUGUGUGGGAGGAGGGACGGAGCCCGAACACUGAUCAGACAAAAGCGACGUGCGGAAGUUCGCUGGUGAGCAGCUCCUGCUGCUCGUAUUGCCCAAACUCAGUGGACUUGGAAAUAGUCACAUGUUGUCUUGGUCGUCAGCCUCAACAUGUAAACGCUGCUCUAGGCUAAACAAAUGGAAACACAAAUGGGGCGGCUCAGCUGGGUCCCUUCGUAUGCAAGCUCAGCCUCAAGACAGACGCCCCGAGGGCGCGUUCCAAUCGGCCACCGCCCGAGCGGGCGCCUGCAAGCCACAAGCAUCGACGGGGACUGUAAAAAUUUCGGUUGCUGCUGGUCCAAAUGACGAAUUGGAGCGUAGCAGGAUGAGCGUAGUACGUGUGUGUAUCGCAGCUGGUGCAUCUGCCUGAAUCCUGAGACCGCCGCAGUUUCCGCUUGGGUACGAUAGUGUCGUCGUUGCCGCCUGGCUGGGCAAGCAUAAGGCCUUGUCGGGCCUGUUUGGCUUGCCACGCUCUGGCGACACACGACCUUCUCCAGUUGUCGGGUCUGCAGUUGCAGUAUGCUGGGCACACGCAGCAGCAGCAGCAAGUCUGUCAGCACGGUCGCCCCGGGGUCUUUCAACUGUAGAGGAACAACUAUGAUGUUUCCAAUUAAUGUCAACUACAAUUAUUAUUAUGUAGCUCUUUCUUUCCUUUUUUUUUUUUUUUGGUAAGUUUCCAAAUAGGUUUACAUGGAAAAAGAAAUAAGGUGGUUCCCUGUCUCAGAAGGGUUCACAAUCUCUCAAGACUCUCCAGGAGAUGUUGCUGGUGUAUCCCUUGUGUUUCUGGAAGUGGGGGCGGGGGAGUGUUUCUGGAAGAAACGCAGCACAAGGAAGACACUAGCAACAGCCACUGGAGAGACACUGUGCUGGCAUAAAUAGGGACUGUUGCUCCCCUACUGCUAAAUAUGAGAGAGUUCCCAUUUUAAAAUAUGGCUCCCUUGCCAGGUUAGCAGCAGUAAUCUUGGAUGCCCAGAAAGGGAAAAUUUCUUUGGUCUGCACAGCUCCUUAGUUAUGCAAACUCCACUUGAUGUAGCUACCAUUUGUUAAAACGGAGCUGGCUGUGCUGGCUUAUUUAGAACAGAAAGGGUGAGGCACUAAUCUGAGCUUUUGAAUGCUUUGUGCAUGUGGAUUACUAGGACUGGACACAAUAGUCCUGUUCACAAGCCCUAAUUCACAUGUUACAUCCAAGGCUAGUACAAUGACUAUACACUGAACCCAGGUAUAGAUCUGUUCACAUGUAUAAUUAUUCACUUAUGAAUGCACAUACAGUAGUGCACUUUCUAUCUGUAUCCUGCAUUUCAGGGGGCUUGUACCCGGGUUCACUUUUUAAAUGAAUGCAGGUACAGUUUAGUCCUGUUCAGAGAGGCAGUCCAAUUCUGGGACCCAAUAGCACCUGCAUUCAGAUGUCUGUACACAUGUACAUGUGUUUGUGUGAAUGAAUGUGCCUGUGUUCAUUUUAAAAGUGAACCUGGAUAAAAGUAAAGUAAAGUGUGCCAUUGAGCUGGUGUUGACUCCUGGCGACCACAGAGCCCUGUGGUUGUCUUUGGUAGAAUACAGGAGGGGUUUACCAUUGCCUCCUCUCAUGCAGUAUGAGAUUACUGUAUGUCUUUCAGCAUCUUCUUAUAUCACUGCUGCCCGAUAUAAGUGUUUCCCAUAGUCUGGGAAACAUACCAGCAGGGAUUCGAACUAGCUUGGUAGUUAAGUCAUUUCCCCGCUGUGUCAAGUGGCUGUAUGAAGGAACCUGGAGACAGGUGCCUUAAAUGUAUGGUACAGACAGGAAGUUUACUGCUGUACAUGUGAAUAACUCUACCUGUGUACAGAUCUAUAUCAUAAUAACCCAUUAAUUGGGUUAUUCACAAUCCCGAUUCAGACAGUAUACUAAAGGUGCUGUACUUGCAUUGAUUGAUUGAUUAAGUGCCGUCAAGUCGGUGUCGACUCUUAGCGACCACAUAGAUAGAGUCUCUCCAGGAUGUUCUGUCUUCAACUUGGCCUUUAAGGUCUCUCAGUAGUGCAUUCAUUGCUGUUGUGAUCGAGUCCAUCCACCUUGCAGCUGGUCGUCCUCUUCUUCUCUUUCCUUCAACUUCCCCCAGCAUUAUGGACUUCUUGCGGGAGAUACAGUAGGUUUUUGCAUAAUGUGUCCGAAGUAUUAGUUUGAGCCUAGUCAUCUGUGCCUUGAUUGAAAAUUCUGGAUUGUUUUGGUCUGUGAUCCAUUUGUUUGUUUUCCUGGCUGUCCAUGGUAUCCUCAAAAGUCUUCUCCAGCACCAAAGUUCAAAAGCGUCAAUGCUUUUUCUAUCUUGCUUCUUCAAAGUCCAGCUUUCGCAUCCAUAGAAUGUCAUGGGAAAAACCAUUGUCUGGACAAUUCUAAUCUUUGUAGGUAUAGACAUGUCACGGCAUCUAAAUAUCCUUUCCAUGGCCUUCAUUGCAACCCUGCCAAGUGCUAGUCUGUGGCCAGAGGCGUAACUAGGGAAAACAGCGCCCGGGGCAAGCACAGAAACGGUGCCCCCCCACCCCCCCAACAUACUACAUUAUACUUAGAUUUUUCCUCACAAGUGCCCGCCGCCGCCAAGCCAGGCCACUGACUGGCCGCCAUGCGCCAGCAAAGCAAUGGGGGGGGCGUGGGCGGCGCGGAAGGGACCGCUCGUGGGGGAGGGGGCGCUGACGCGCUCCCUUGACUGCUGCAGCGCUGCUGCACUGAGCAGGAAACAUUUGUAUUAACAAAAAAUUAAAAAAAAAUUAAAAAAUUUUUUUGUCAUGGUGGCGCCCCCCACGUGACCAGAAAAGAUGGCGCCCGGGGCACGUGCCCCCCCUGCCCCCCUAUAGUUACGCCUCUGUCUGUGGCGUAUUUCUUGACUGCUGGAUCCUUUACUGUUGCUGGUUGAUCCUAAAAGGCAGAUGCUAUCUACCACUUCAAUGUCUUCAUUAUCAAUUCUGAGGCUGGUUGUUUUACCCGUUGCUCAUUAGUUUAGUCUUCUUUACAUUUAGUUGUAGUCCCAUUUUCUCAUUGUGCUCCUUGACUUUCAUUACUAGAGCUUGCAGAUCAUCCGCAUUCAGCAUCUAAAGUGGGACCCUAGCCUCCCAAUCACCGAACGCCAUCACAGAUAUGACAUUUGCCUCUUUAGCCUAACACCGUUGUAACCAUGAGCAGCACACUGCUAGGGAUUACUGAUGGGGCUGGGGGAGGAUUCUAGCCCCACUUUGGACUCUGUGAGUACAACGUCUCUAGUAUAACAUCUGAAUAGGGCUCCCCAAAAAUAUGUAGAAGUGUACAGACAUUCAUACAACUUUUUAAGUUCGAAAUUCAACUCUUCAGGUCAUGUGUAAUGGAGGAUGAUAGGGAUCCAGUAGGAAUGUGUUAAUUCAGCUGCUGAAAAUAGGAGUUGGCAGGAUUUUGCCAGAAUAUCUGAAAUCUACAUUGAAUCAAAAUAUGAGGAGUGUGGAUAGACAUAGGGUGGUCACUGUCCAAGCUGUGGGCAGCUGAAGUGAUAUGUAGAAAAUCAGUAAUGGGAAGGAUGUCCUCUUGCUCCUUCCCAACCCAGUAGGGGAGCUUGGGGACAGGCUCCUGGCCCAAUCAACAGAUGUCAGAGCUAAGAGAGGAGUGGAGGAAAGAAGGGAUUUUGUUUGUCUUUUUCAAAUCGCAGCUGCCAUUAAGAAAACUAUGUCUGUAUGAAGCACCUUUCAACAGUUUACUUUAUCAUAGAGACUUUUAAAAUGGGAUCAGUUCUAACUGGAGUCACUUUUUCAAGAUGAGAUGGAAACAGAGCUGCAAGAUCGGUCUUGAAAAAAAUAAGAGGCAUUUUGGAACUACAGUGUCUGAAAUAAAGAGCUUCUCUUUUUGGCCUAUGA